rnacentral:tRNA from 1 species
GGGGCCAUAGCUCAGCUGGGAGAGCGCCUGCCUUGCAAGCAGGGGGUCGGGAGUUCGAUCCUCCCUGGCUCCACCA